GACGAACGCUGGCGGCAGGCCUAACACAUGCAAGUCGAGCGGACCUUUCGGGGUCAGCGGCGGACGGGUGAGUAACGCGUGGGAAUAUGCCCUUCUCUACGGAAUAGUCCUGGGAAACUGGGGGUAAUACCGUAUACGCCCUUUGGGGGAAAGAUUUAUCGGGGAAGGAUUAGCCCGCGUUGGAUUAGGUAGUUGGUGGGGUAAUGGCCUACCAAGCCGACGAUCCAUAGCUGGUUUGAGAGGAUGAUCAGCCACACUGGGACUGAGACACGGCCCAGACUCCUACGGGAGGCAGCAGUGGGGAAUCUUAGACAAUGGGGGCAACCCUGAUCUAGCCAUGCCGCGUGAGUGAUGAAGGCCUUAGGGUUGUAAAGCUCUUUCAGCUGGGAAGAUAAUGACGGUACCAGCAGAAGAAGCCCCGGCUAACUCCGUG
rnacentral:rRNA from 1 species